ACGCUCGACACCUACGGGGGGCAGCAGUGGGGAAUAUUGCACAAUGGGGGAAACCCUGAUGCAGCAACGCCGCGUGAAGGAAGACGGUUUUCGGAUUGUAAACUUCUGUUCUUAGUGAAGAUAGUGACGGUAGCUAAGGAGCAAGCCACGGCUAACUACGUGCCAGCAGCAGCGGUAAUCUAGAGCGGGCUGGCAAGGC
rnacentral:rRNA from 1 species